AUGGGGGCAGCUGGUGCUGACCCAGGCCCCAGACUCGCUGCGCAGGUCUCCCAGCACCCACGCAGGGCUAUCUGCAAGAGCAGCACCUCUGUGAAGAUAGAGUGCCAUGCGACGGGCAUCCAGGCCACCACGGUGCUGUGGUACCGCCAGGCCCCGGGACAGAGCUUCACCCAGAUCGCAACUUCUACACAGGGCUCCGACGCCACCUACGAGCAGGGCUUUUCCAAGGCCAGGUUCCCCGUCAGCCACCCAAACCUCACGUUUUCAGCUCUGACCGUGACUGGCGUCCAGCCCGAGGACAGCAGUGUCUACUUCUGUGCA